rnacentral:misc_RNA from 1 species
AACGGUCUAUACCUGCGGUACCUGCGGAGGGAUCAUUAACGUGCCCCUGGGGCGCCCCCGGUCCCUGGAACUCCAGGGCCGGUUAGGCGCUUUCUUUGGCCCAUCCGUGUCUACUUUACCUGCUGCUUCGGCGGGCACCCGGGGCUGCCACGUUGCGCCCCGGGCCUUGAGCCCGCCGAGGACCCCCUGAAAACCCCUGGUGAACGUUGGCGGUCUGAGUGGGCUGGAUAAUCGUCAAAA